rnacentral:rRNA from 3 species
UUAAAUUGAAGAGUUUGAUCAUGGCUCAGAUUGAACGCUGGCGGCAGGCCUAACACAUGCAAGUCGAACGGUAACAGGAAGCAGCUUGCUGCUUCGCUGACGAGUGGCGGACGGGUGAGUAAUGUCUGGGAAACUGCCUGAUGGAGGGGGAUAACUACUGGAAACGGUAGCUAAUACCGCAUAAUGUCGCAAGACCAAAGAGGGGGACCUUCGGGCCUCUUGCCAUCGGAUGUGCCCAGAUGGGAUUAGCUUGUUGGUGGGGUAACGGCUCACCAAGGCGACGAUCCCUAGCUGGUCUGAGAGGAUGACCAGCCACACUGGAACUGAGACACGGUCCAGACUCCUACGGGAGGCAGCAGUGGGGAAUAUUGCACAAUGGGCGCAAGCCUGAUGCAGCCAUGCCGCGUGUAUGAAGAAGGCCUUCGGGUUGUAAAGUACUUUCAGCGGGGAGGAAGGGAGUAAAGUUAAUACCUUUGCUCAUUGACGUUACCCGCAGAAGAAGCACCGGCUAACUCCGUGCCAGCAGCCGCGGUAAUACGGAGGGUGCAAGCGUUAAUCGGAAUUACUGGGCGUAAAGCGCACGCAGGCGGUUUGUUAAGUCAGAUGUGAAAUCCCCGGGCUCAACCUGGGAACUGCAUCUGAUACUGGCAAGCUUGAGUCUCGUAGAGGGGGGUAGAAUUCCAGGUGUAGCGGUGAAAUGCGUAGAGAUCUGGAGGAAUACCGGUGGCGAAGGCGGCCCCCUGGACGAAGACUGACGCUCAGGUGCGAAAGCGUGGGGAGCAAACAGGAUUAGAUACCCUGGUAGUCCACGCCGUAAACGAUGUCGACUUGGAGGUUGUGCCCUUGAGGCGUGGCUUCCGGAGCUAACGCGUUAAGUCGACCGCCUGGGGAGUACGGCCGCAAGGUUAAAACUCAAAUGAAUUGACGGGGGCCCGCACAAGCGGUGGAGCAUGUGGUUUAAUUCGAUGCAACGCGAAGAACCUUACCUGGUCUUGACAUCCACGGAAGUUUUCAGAGAUGAGAAUGUGCCUUCGGGAACCGUGAGACAGGUGCUGCAUGGCUGUCGUCAGCUCGUGUUGUGAAAUGUUGGGUUAAGUCCCGCAACGAGCGCAACCCUUAUCCUUUGUUGCCAGCGGUCCGGCCGGGAACUCAAAGGAGACUGCCAGUGAUAAACUGGAGGAAGGUGGGGAUGACGUCAAGUCAUCAUGGCCCUUACGACCAGGGCUACACACGUGCUACAAUGGCGCAUACAAAGAGAAGCGACCUCGCGAGAGCAAGCGGACCUCAUAAAGUGCGUCGUAGUCCGGAUUGGAGUCUGCAACUCGACUCCAUGAAGUCGGAAUCGCUAGUAAUCGUGGAUCAGAAUGCCACGGUGAAUACGUUCCCGGGCCUUGUACACACCGCCCGUCACACCAUGGGAGUGGGUUGCAAAAGAAGUAGGUAGCUUAACCUUCGGGAGGGCGCUUACCACUUUGUGAUUCAUGACUGGGGUGAAGUCGUAACAAGGUAACCGUAGGGGAACCUGCGGUUGGAUCACCUCCUUACCUUAAAGAAGC